UCCUUCCUUCCUUCCUUCCUUCCUUCCUUCCUUCCUUCCUUCCUUCCUUCCUCCCCUCCUUCCUUCCUUCUUUUUCUUUCCUUCCUUCUUUCCUUCCUUCCUUCCAUCCAUCCAUCCAUCUAUCUAUCCUAGAUGGAAAAUUAACUGUAAAAAAACAAAAGAGAAGAUUUUUUUUAAAAAAAAGUUUUUUAUUUUUAAACAAAACUUAAAACCACCAUCAUCCAUUACCAUUACAGAAAGUGUAUUGAUCGGUUACAAAUCUUUUAUGCUUAAUCCCAUAUCCAUAUUCUCAUUUACCAAUUAUUUAACAAUGGCUUAUCUCCCAUAAAAAAAAAAACCCGCUUUAUGUAUUUUAUUAUUACAUCCAUUUCAUAUUUCAUUUCCAUGCUUUUAUUAUCUAGCCAUGGGCAAAAUAAGUCCCAUAUCAAGUAAUAUUGUUUAUCUUCCUGUUCUCUAAUUUCAAAUGUCAAUUUGCUCAUUUCAGCACAUUCCAAAAUUUCUUAAUAACAUCAUCAUCAGUAGGUCUCUUCUCUCCUUUCCAGUUUUUAGCAAAUACAAUUCCAAGAGGAGAUUUUUUUUUUUUUUUUUAAGCAUAAGGGGAAAUAUUUUAAAGGGGUUUUAGAAGGUCUGAGUUGGAUGCCAAAAUUUCCACCGUUUUUUGUUUUGUUGAUAAUUCAAACCUGGUGAUUUGUGCCUCAAGUGAGGGUAUUGGGUUGACCUGUAUGUUUUCUGGAUCAUUGCAAGCAAAAAGGGGAAAAAAAAAACUUCUUUUUUUGGUUGUUUUGAUAGGUGACUCUGAAAACCACUUGCACUUUUUCCUUUUUCAAAUUUCGGAAGGAUGUUUUCUCUCCUUCGGUUUUCCAAACCUUUCUUGACAUCACUUCUCUGUUUCUCUUUUGCAGCAAUUUAAGGAUACAAGUAGUCAGCGACAUAAUGAGGACUAAUUGAGCCUGCAAUUCCGGUGGUGCAAAUCUUGACCAUGGACUCGGGGGUCAACCUGGACAUCGUCAGACCUUAUUUGGGCAAAUACCGGUCCUUUGUUGGGCGCUGCUGCCAAAAAUGCACCUCGAAGAGCUGGGGAUUUUUCUUUCACAAGCACCUGGCCUCCAUGGGAUUUUGCAAUGUGAUCAAGAUAACGGAAGAAAACACCAGGU